rnacentral:rRNA from 1 species
UACGAAGGGGGCUAGCGUUGUUCGGAAUAACUGGGCUUAAAGGGCGCGUAGGCGGGCUGUCAAGCUUGGGGUGAAAUGCCACGGCUCAACCGUGGAACUGCCUCAAAUACUGACGGUCUCGAGGGAGGUAGGGGCGAGCGGAACUAAUGGUGGAGCGGUGAAAUGCGUUGAUAUCAUUAGGAACUCCGGUGGCGAAGGCGGCUCGCUGGACCUUUUCUGACGCUGAGGCGCGAAAGCUAGGGGAGCAAACGGGG